CUGUUUGGAAAUAUACAUUAAGGGAGUAUGUUUUGGAUACAUAUAACAAAAUCAUUAAUGAAAUUAUAAAUUGAGCUGUCAUUUUCAUCUACAACUAAUCUAAUAUUUCUUUCAUUUAAACAUACAACUAUAAAAUGAUGAAUAAUAUAUUACUACUUUAUUGUGAUUCAAGUUUGAAAUGAUGGACCAUAGAGCUUAGAGACUGAAUAUACAAAUAAGCAAUGACCAGACGGCAUACCAUAAGCUCAAGAAAACAAACCACAACCUCUGUACCAAUUGCUCCAGAAUUGUCAGGACUUGGUCGUGACAGUCUAUGACUGCUUACCUAUUUUUCUCCCUGCUUCCAACUCAUGACCAACCAAGUAAAAUCAAAUGUGCUCCCCAAACCAACCACAGAAUACAUCCUGCUGUUAGUUAGCUGAGUUUGAGCAUCCUCAUGACCUCUAAUCAGAGUGUACCUGAAACCUUCCAUUUGUUCACUAUAUAGCAUUCUCACUCCCCUGCCUGCAUUUCAAUCUCUGUCACAUUCAAGCUGUCUGUAGGAAACUCUGAAUAGAUUGUUUGUUUACAUUUAGGUAGUCUUCAUAUAUACAUAUUAGUAAAAUUAUUCUCAGGUAUAUAGUAAUCACAAAGGCAGCUAUCAGGACUAAAUGAUAAAUAGACAAGAGACUUGAACAGAUAUUUUUUCUCAAAGAUGUAUAAAUGACCAAUAAACCCCUGAAGAUGCUCUAAAUCACUGAACUUUAGAGAAAUGUAAAUCAAAGUCAUGAUGAAAUAUGACAUCACAACUCUUAGGAUGGAUAACAUUUAAAAAAAACACAGAAAACAGCAAGUUUUGAUAAGGGUGUGAACAAAUUGGAAACCUAUGCAUUAAUGAUAGGGAUGUCAAGUGGCAGAACCACAGUGGAAUAUACUUUUUUAGCAUUUCCUAAAAAAUAAACGUAUGUUAUCAUGACAUCCAUAAAUUCCACUUAUAUAAUAAAGGACAAGAAUUCAAACACACAUUUACACACUCAUGUGCAUAGCAACAUUGUUUACAGUAGCUAAAAUGUAAAAGCUACCCAAGUGUCAUAGAUGGAUGAAUAAAUAAAAUGUUGUCUAUACAUACAGUGGAAUAUUAUUUAGCUCUAAAAGGAAGAAAGAAUUCUUACAAAGGAUCAUUCAUGCAACAACAUGUAUGAUCCUUGAAGAUACUACACUAAGUAAAAUAAGCCAGUCACAAAAGGGUGACUGUUGCACUUUUUCACUGAUAUGAAGUAUCUAGAGUAGUCACAUUCAUCAAGACAGAAAUUAGGAUGGUCGUUGCCUAAGGCUGGAGAGAACAAAGAGAGUUAUUGUUUAAAGGGUAAGAAGUUUUUAUUUGGGAAGAUGAAAAGUUCUAGAAAUGGAUGAUGGUGAUGGUUGCACAUACAUGUGAAUUUACUGAAUAAUCACUGAACCAUACAUAUACAAAUGAUUAAAAUAAAAAAAUUCAAAGAAAAUUUUAUACGUUUCUGGAGCUUAAGAAAGAAGGCCAUUCCAGGAGAAAGGUGUGAACCCGGGAAGCAGAGCUUGCAGUGAGCCGAGAUGGUGCCCCUGCACUCCAGCCUGGGCAACAGAGCGAGACCCGUCCAAAAAAAAAAAAAGAAAAA
rnacentral:lncRNA from 1 species